GACAGAGGGUGCGAACGUUGUUCGGAAUUACUGGGCGUAAAGCGCGCGUAGGCGGCUUUGUAAGUUAGAGGUGAAAGCCCGGGGCUCAACCCCGGAACUGCCUUUAAGACUGCAUCGCUUGAAUCCGGGAGAGGUGAGUGGAAUUCCGAGUGUAGAGGUGAAAUUCGUAGAUAUUCGGAAGAACACCAGUGGCGAAGGCGGCUCACUGGACCGGCAUUGACGCUGAUGUGCGAAAGCGUGGGGAGCAAACAGG
rnacentral:rRNA from 1 species